rnacentral:rRNA from 1 species
UACGUAGGGUGCAAGCGUUAAUCGGAAUUACUGGGCGUAAAGCGCGUGUAGGCGGUUUGGUAAGUCCUGUGUGAAAGCCCUGGGCUCAACCCAGGAAGUGCGCAGGAUACUGCUUGACUGGAGUGACGGAGAGGAUGGCGGAAUUCCCGGUGUAGAGGUGAAAUUCGUAGAUAUCGGGAGGAACACCUGCGGCGAAGGCGGGUUGCUGGGCCGACACUGACGCUGAGGCGCGAAAGCUAGGGGAGCGAACGGG